GACGAACGCUGGCGGCGUGCCUAAUACAUGCAAGUCGAACGGACAGGCCCUGCUUUUGUGGGGUGCUCGAGUGGCGAACGGGUGAGUAACACGUGAGUAACCUGCCCUUGACUUUGGGAUAACUUCAGGAAACUGGGGCUAAUACCGGAUAGGAGCUCCUGCUGCAUGGUGGGGGUUGGAAAGAUUCGGCGGUUGGGGAUGGACUCGCGGCUUAUCCGCUUGUUAGUGGGGUAGUGGCAUACGAAGGGUGUGACGGGUAGCCGGCCUGGGAGGUUGGCCGGCGACAAGGGGCCUACGGUAGGCCGCAGUCGCCAACCGGAGGCAACGGGGGAAAGUAUUGCGGAGCGACGGGGAGCGAGAUACGACGACGCCGCGUGCGUAAAGACGUCCUACGAGGGGUAAACCGCUUUGGCCGGAAACGAGGCGGUAGUGACGGUAACUGGUAAGAAAGCACCGGCUAACUACGUG
rnacentral:rRNA from 1 species